ACCUGAGCCACAUCAGUGACAAUGCCAGGUCCUUAACCUGAUGAGCCACCAGGGAAUGCCUAUAUUUAUACAUUUUCUUCAUCAUAUUUUAUAAAAAUUAACCCAACAUCAAACACAAGAAGCUGGAAUUUGUCGAAACCCGGCAAUCUUCACAAGGAGUCCUCUUUAUUUUGAGUAGGAUGAGAGUGCUCUGGAAGCCAUAAAAAGCCAUCCCCAAAAAGUCACCCCAUCUUUGACUAUUCUGAAGCUCUAAGUGCAGUUCCCAACCAGCAGUGGAUGCCCUACAGUCUUUCCAGCCCCUGUGCAGAAAGAGAAAGCUCUAGAAUCUGAUCUCCAUCUCAGGUCUGCGGUUCUGACCCCCAGAAGAGGCAAGUUGAGACAAACGCCUGCACGUCACAGCAAUCAACUGUUGUUUGACAAAGAGCCUGUGCCUGCCUUGUCCUGGAAGUUUGUGAUGGAGGAGGAUGGAGGAGGGAACAGCAUCUUCUGGGGGCAGAGAGGCGGAGAAGGAGCCAGCUAACCAGGUGCUCUUCUGUUCCCUGCUACUGGCAAUCGGAUGGCUCCCCACAGGGUUUAUGUCCACCCAAGGCAGUGUUCCCGGACAAAAUGUAAGACAGCUAAGAUUUCUCAUUCUGAGAAUUCUUUUUGGACACAGAAGUCAUUCUAGCCCCAAAAAUUUCUUUACCAGAGAAUUAGAAAUGGUCCUUCCCAACUCUCAUAACCCAGAGCCCUCCCCUUCACCUCCUAAUUUUCCACACAUUCAAGAUUCAAAACACUUCAAGAUGAAAAUCUAGAUUACAAAUUCCUUUCCUGUUAUUUCUGAAGCAGCUGCUGUGAGAGAAACAAGUGUCUGGUUCACAGAUUUGCACGACACAGAAAGUGAAAGAAAAGCAAUACCAAUGAUGAUGAUAAUGAAAAAACAGCCAGGAUGAAGACUGCCUGACACUGAUAUAUAACACCACUAAUUAAAUGUGUGUGUGUGUGUGUGUGUGUGUGUGUGUUUAAUUUCAGCAAAGUGCAGGUGGGGAAGCUAUCGAAGUAGACAGGUGUUUUGGCAAUUCAUUUUCUAGAUAGACAACUGGCUCCUGGCCGAAUUCCCUGUCCUGGAUCACAAACAGAUCCAGACUUACCCAAAGGCUCACUCUUCACUAACAUGCCCAGUGUCCUGCUGUCCCUAGCCUCCCCAAAGAUCUCCAGGGAUUUGCUAAAAAAAGAGAGAGAAAAACAUGAAAAGAUUUGUUCAUUUGGUCUUGAUACAUGCAUUUUAAAAAAAUUCUAUGAGAGAGAGAAGGGUGAAAGAAACCCUCAGUAUAGUGGCUGAAGUUACAUAAUGGGUAGUGAGUAUCCAAUUACAGAUGUUCCCCUUUAUAAAUAGAUUUAUUAUUAUCACCAAAAGGUAUUAAAUGUGAUACUCUAGAGGGCAAUACUCUCCAACAGAAAUAUAAAGUGAGCCAUAUUAAUAAUUAAAAAUUUUCUAGUAGCCUCAUUUAAAAAGUAUA